rnacentral:misc_RNA from 1 species
AGCCCUUGACAUCCCGAUCGCGGUUACCAGAGAUGGUAUCCUUCAGUUAGGCUGGAUCGGUGACAGGUGCUGCAUGGCUGUCGUCAGCUCGUGUCGUGAGAUGUUGGGUUAAGUCCCGCAACGAGCGCAACCCUCGCCCUUAGUUGCCAUCAUUCAGUUGGGCACUCUAAGGGGACUGCCGGUGAUAAGCCGAGAGGAAGGUGGGGAUGACGUGUAACCGAAUCU